AAAGUGAAUAGUGAAAUCUGGUGGCUCAACCAUACAGACUAUUAUUCAAACUCAUAAACUCGAGAAUGGUAGAGGUAACUGGAAUUUCUAGUGUAGGAGUGAAAUCCGUAGAUAUUAGAAGGAACACCAAUGGCGUAGGCAGGUUACUGGACCAUUUCUGACGCUAAGGCACGAAAGCGUGGGGAGCGAACCGGAUUAGAUACCCGGGUAGUCCACGCUGUAAACGAUGGAUACUA
rnacentral:rRNA from 1 species